rnacentral:lncRNA from 1 species
AACUCAGCUCAAAAAAAUAAUUAAAAAAAUCUAUUUUUCAAUUUAAUAAACUUUAGAAGACGAUGAAUUAUUUACGGUAAAUAAUUUAUUAUUUUUUUCUAUAUCUUAUAUAUAUAAUUCUAUCAAUCGCAUAAAGAAUUCAGUAAUUUAUAUACAAUCAUAACAAUCCGACAAAAAAUUCUAAAAAUUCACGUACAAUUUUAACAACAUUAUAAAUAUCCUCACAACUUACAUACAAUCCUACCAACGCCAUAAAAAUUCUCACAGCCUAUUAAAAAAAAAAAACGUGAUAAUAAUCUGAAACAGUGAACGAUUUACUUUUUUCUAAAAACGGUGAAUGACUCACCGUUAGCCAAAUAAAAUUUU